GGGGCUGCACCGGUUUCGACGGGGGUGUGGAGGCAGGAUAAGCGGGCGGCGGCGCCUGACCGCCAUAAAACGGGCAAAUUAAAAAUUAACUGACAACACUAAUACUGUUGCCGUCGCUGCUUAAGCAGUGACCGUCUGAACCGGAGCGGCCACCGGCCGGGGAAGGCGUCGUUAAGGUGGCGUCCGUGAGGCGGGUAAGAGUUGCCCCGCCCACGCAUCAUGACUCUACUGAACUGUGCAGUCUGCCAGGUGCCUGCACAGGGAGGGAAUGCUGAAACCUGGCUGCGCCCGGAGAAAGUCCUGUCAAAGUGCUUUCGGACAGGGGUUCGACUCCCCUCAGCUCCACCA
rnacentral:tmRNA from 1 species